rnacentral:misc_RNA from 1 species
GGCCAAUGCCAAUCAAACUGUAGAGGACUAAGAGAGUACCUACUGUCCAAGUCCCCCUCCGAGCAGCUGGUGGGUCGACUGGCUAGGAGACUGGACCCCCAGGUCAUUCCAACAAUAGCACAGAAACUUGGUCUGACCCAGAUUGAGGUCAGACGGGUCAGAGACUCCGCCGCGAGAUCCACCGCGGAACCCACGGCGGGAUCCACCGCGUGGCGCCAAUCUUUUCAAACCUUACAGAACGCUGUACGGAAACAUUCCCUGACCCUUGGAGAUCUACAGGAAGCCAUUGUUUCGGCUGGGGUGGGGAAGCACGUGAUGUGUCAGGGAUUCCGGAUUUUCCAUGAAACCGAUGAAAUCCCGGAGGAAUAUCUCGAACGCAGCGUGAGUAGACGAGAGUUGGCAGCCAUGGCGUUGAAUAUUAGCAGAGAUGUUUUCCCACUGGCUGUUGAACUAGAUAUCUCAUCACAAGACGUGCUAGCGUUACUCCAGAGACCAAUCGAACGCGACCCAGUCGCCAACAUCCGGGACGUUUUGACACAGUGGUAUCUGUAUUCAGAGCUCAAGCCGACAUUCAGGGUACUCGUGAUGGCCCUUCUAGAAGUCGGGUUCGAUUUGGUGUGCGCAACAACUGCCCUCGACCAAAGCAGCAGCAACUCACUGUUUUAAGAAUAAUCAGUUUGCAGGGUUUGACUUUAAUGAGCAACAUUUCGAUGGCUUUUUAUUGAGGAUACUAGUACAUGAUUUCUGAAUUUUCUUAUGUUGUUUUUCAUAAUAUUUUGUCAAUAAAUUGUUUGAUAU